GGGGUUUGGAGGUUCUAUAUGUCUAACCUCUAUAACUUUAAGACUCCAUUGUUAGCGGAGCCAUUUUCGUUCGAUGAAACUAAAUUUUUCGGAACAAAUUCAAAUUGGAAAUCAAGUUUUUCAGAGCUCUUUCUUAGUCUAAAGUUGGAUGCUGAAUUAACGGAGCGGUCCGAGGCCAGCCAGCUAGUGGAAGAAAUAGAUUCGACAAGCAAACUACAUAUAUUCAUCGUCCCUUAAAUCAAAAGCUGUUUUAGAAGGAAGGUCGUGAGAAUGUCUGUCACCUCACCGAGAAGGUGAAUCUCCUUGCCCUGUGACGGCCCCUCCGAUGUUACUUAAAACAAAAUUUCUGAAAUACAGAAACUUGUUGGUGGAUAUACUAUUCAUACAACCCCACAGUCUCUACCAACUACCGUUAGCUGAACUCAAUUGUAAUGCCCUGUGCCACAAUUUUCGUGCGGGUAAGAGACCUAACAAACGAGACAAUUUUAAUAAUUAAAAACUAUCUGGUAACUUUCACCGUACAUUUGUAUGCAAUAGUAUAAAGAGAAACCACUAUACUACUCGUACAAAUGUACUCAACUGUCGGUGCUGCCAGAUUGCGCAGCCGACGAAUCGUAGAUUUUUUGUUACUAAAUAAAUAUAAAUACAUUAGCGCAUACGAAUAUACCCAUACAGAAAGCCAACAAUGGAACGAGCGUAGAAAAAAUUCACAACUGACAGGCUGGCGAAACGGCAACACAGCAAAAGCUUUUCAGGUCCAUACUGCGAGUAAGUGAAUGCCUCGCGUGGCCUCGCUUCGUCGUUGUGCCCUUUAAUGCUCGCACCAACUGACUGACUGUACGCGCCCCAGCCCAGCGCAGUGGCCAGACUAUGAGCGCAAUGCUCGCGACCGAGUUGUGCCACCAGCACGCGAACUGACGGACGUACGUAUAGACGGGCGCACUGACUGACGGACAAGUUGUUCGACGAUUUGCUGUUUUUCUCUUAUAUAUUCAUUAUUUGCUCGGUUCGUUGUUGCGACACUGCAGUUCGGUCGCGCGCAUUUCAAGCGACGACCGUAAUAGCAACGACAACGGCGGCUAUGGCUUUACUGCAAUGCGAAGCAGCCAGUCAGGCAGCCAGCCAGCCGGGGCAGGCAGAGCCAAAUAACCCAACCGAAUGGGCUCGGGUCGUUCAUCGUCGUCGUGGUGUCGGUUGUUUGCGUUUUGCACCAAUGCAGCGUUAUUCGCUUAUCGUUCGAGUGGCGGCCACAGCUUAAUCUCACGAUUGCAACGACUAUGCAAUUGUAAACUUUUGCCCAGCACACACAACCAAACACACAUUCAUAGGCGCGCAUAUGCAUGUAUUCAACUUGUUGUUGGUAUUUUACAUUUGGCAUUUCUCUCAUCAACCAUGCAACCAUGCAGCCAAGCAUUCGCGUUCAUUUUUUCCUAUGCACAAUGACAGCAAAUAGCAAAUGCACCAACAGCAAUGCAACUUGCUCGGCUGGCUGGCUGCACAUUACUAGCAAAAGCAAAGUGGCAGUAAAAAUCCAUCAAGGACAUUGCUGUUUGGUUUGCGAGAAUUGCAGCGCAGCAGCGGCGAUAUAAAGAAUUCGACUCAACGCGGUCGCGGCGUUCGAGCCAAUAGUGGGUUGUUCGCAAACCGCCAUCAUCGGUAGCAUAUUCGUGGUGAUUUCCAUGCCAUCUGGCAACGUUGCGGCGUACAGAUGAAAUUACCGCUAACUUUGAAUCGCAACAGCAGUAACGAACUAUUUCUAAAUUUCAUCAUGCCACCAAUACAGGCGCACCCACACACAACACACUCCAACAAACACAUAUUAACCGCACAGCCACCACACACCCACAGGUAAUCGGCUUGAAGGACACAGAAUUUUUUGACAAUUGCAUUGAACUGUCAAUGCGGGAUCAGUGCUGCCACAUAAAGUAAAACUCAAAAGUGGAAAUUUCGUUUUUAAAAAUCUAUGAAUUUGUGAGUACAUAUGCACGCGAUUACCAAAGUGCGCUGUAAAAUGAACAAAUACGCCGUAACGAAGCAGGCAAAUUUACGUUGUGUAGAACUGACGGCAACGGCAAACAACCCCACAAAAUACAUACAAGUAUACAUAUUGAUACAUAAAGCGUAUUAUGUGGCAGUGUGUGGGUAUGUGUACAAAAUAUCGGUUUAUAUAUAUUCACUCGUACUGCUAACACUGCUGACUUGGGUUACGAGUUUUCCUUUUCGCUUGUACGAGAAUAUUUCGUCGGUCGCUUUGCAGCAGUGAAACAACCACCAACAAAAAACGAUUUCACAAAACGAACGAACUGCCGACGAAUGGUGUUCGUGCCGAAACGCAACAAAACAUACACACAUUCAAACCGGACCCAGCACCAUCCAUGCACUCACCACCGCCGACCAAGUCACUUACACACGAAUGCACACCGAGAUACAUAUGUAUAUGUACGUACGCACACUUAUGCAUUUUAAUUUAGUUAUUUACGUCGUUGCUGUGCUCGUAUGAAAUACGUUUUCCUCAUGUUUGACUUUAUUCUAGUUACCAACCUUGUCGUAGCAGCAAAAGCAAAGCUAAGUAUUCACAAUUUACUUAAUAUAUGGUUGCGCACAAUCUGGCAACGCUCGUUGUUGGAAAUUUCAAAUAACGGUAAAUGUACGUUGCAUACAUCUGGCAACCCUGCACACUCAUAACUUAAUGCCGCUCGACCACUCUGCCGCAACUUCUGUUGUUUUACUUCGUUAAUAUACUUAUGCUUGGUGUAUUCUUACUUUCCUGCCACAUUUGACCACUCAACGGAAUUGGUAAUGUAGCACAAGGCAGUAAGCGGCAAAAAAGACUUCGCUCAGCGUUGCCAUUCGUCGACUGCCAUUCGCCGUUGUAACACACUCGGUUUAGCCUUCACAGACUUGAUACGAUGAAAGGGUCGUUCCACAAGGCGUCAGGAUGUGUACAGUGGUGCGAGCGCACAAAAUGCGAACAAAAUAGACGCUUAAAUGCAGCCAACAGAUCGACCGACCGAGGUAAAAAGUUGUGCGAAUAACCAGCCCACUGUUCAGGAGCAUGAAUGCUAGUCCUUAUAUUCAUAAGCGCAUAGAGGUGGUGCAUAAAUAGCAGUGUAUACCCAGCUACCCAAACCUCAGAUGUUCUCGUAAAUACUUUGUCCCAGAUUCAAUCGAUUUAAUAUUAAAUGUGUUAUAUGUUCUAGCGCAUAAAUUGAUUGGUGGCUUGUAUGGCUGACCGGGGUCAAAGUGACAGAAUGAGUUUAAACAAAAUGUAUUUAACAUUUUUUGAAAA